rnacentral:tRNA from 1 species
GGUGUAGCUCAGUGGUAAAGUGUGUGCUUAGCAUGCAUGAGUCCCUAGGUUCAAUCUCUAGCACC